rnacentral:rRNA from 1 species
UACGUAGGGGGCGGAGCGUUGUCCGGAUUUAUUGGGCGUAAAGAGCGUGUAGGCGGCUCGUCGCGUCGACCGUGAAACCCGCGGCUUAACUGCGGGCUUGCGGUUGAUACGGGCGGGCUAGAGUUCGGUAGGGGAGACGUGGAAUUCCUGGUGUAGCGGUGAAAUGCGUAGAUAUCCGGAGGAACACCGAUGGCGAAGGCAACCGCCUGGGCCUGUACUGACGCUGAGGAGCGAAAGCGUGGGGAGCAAACAGG